rnacentral:tRNA from 1 species
GCGCCUGUAGCUCAAUGGAUAGAGCACGCGGCUUCGGACCGUGGGGUUGGGGGUUCGACUCCCUUCAGGCGCG